rnacentral:sRNA from 1 species
UGACCCUUAUUAAGCCGAGGGUCACCUAGCCAACUGACGUUGUUAGUGAACCAAAUUGUUCAUAUCGAUAGCCAAUCACACACUUUGUGAUUGGCUUUUUUUAU